rnacentral:rRNA from 1 species
GACGAACGCUGGCGGCGUGCUUAACACAUGCAAGUCGAACGGAAAGGCCCUUCGGGGUCCUCGAGGGGCGAACGGGCGAGUAACACGUGGGCGAUCUGCUCAGCACCUUGGGGUACGCCUGGGAAACUGGGUCUAAUACCGAAAAGGACCACGCGCUUCAGGGUGUGAGGUGGAAAGCGUUUGCGGUGUGGGCUGGGCCCGUGGCCGAUCAGCCCGCUGGUGGGGUAAUGGCCUACCAAGGCGACGACGGGUAGCCGACCUGGGAGGGUGACCGGCCACACUGGGACUGAGAGACGCCCCAGUCUCCAACGGGACGCAGCGGUGGAGAGUAUUACACAGCAGGCGCGAGCGAGAUGCGACGACGCCGCGUGCGGGAUGCCGGGCUUCUGGUUGAAAACCUCUGUCUCCAGAGACGAGGCGUUAGUGACGGUACCUGAAGAGGAAGCACCGGCCAACUACGUG